rnacentral:rRNA from 1 species
CACGUAGGGCGCAAGCGUUGUCCGGAAUUAUUGGGCGUAAAGAGCUCGUAGGCGGUCUGUUACGUCUGCUGUGAAAACCCAGGGCUUAACCCUGGGCUUGCAGUGGAUACGGGCAGACUAGAGGCAGGUAGGGGAGAAUGGAAUUCCCGGUGUAGCGGUGAAAUGCGCAGAUAUCGGGAGGAACACCGGUGGCGAAGGCGGUUCUCUGGGCCUGACCUGGACGCUGAGGAGCGAAAGACGUGGGGAGGC